rnacentral:rRNA from 1 species
CCUACGGGUCGCAGCAGUGGGGAAUAUUGGACAAUGGGCGAAAGCCUGAUCCAGCCAUGCCGCGUGUGUGAAGAAGGCCUUCGGGUUGUAAAGCACUUUCAGUGGGGAAGAAAGCCUUGGGGCUAAUACCCUCGAGGAAGGACAUCACCCACAGAAGAAGCACCGGCUAACUCCGUGCCAGCAGCCGCGGUAAUACGGAGGGUGCGAGCGUUAAUCGGAAUUACUGGGCGUAAAGCGCGCGUAGGCGGUCUGAUAAGCCGGUUGUGAAAGCCCCGGGCUCAACCUGGGAACGGCAUCCGGAACUGUCAGGCUAGAGUGCAGGAGAGGAAGGUAGAAUUCCCGGUGUAGCGGUGAAAUGCGUAGAGAUCGGGAGGAAUACCAGUGGCGAAGGCGGCCUUCUGGACUGACACUGACGCUGAGGUACGAAAGCGUGGGUAGCAAACAGGAUUAGAUACCCCUGUAGUC